rnacentral:rRNA from 1 species
GGACGAACGCUUGCGGCGUGCCUAAGAAAUGCAAGUCGAACGGACAGUCAGCAAUGGCUGUUAGUGGCGAACGGUCGCGUAACACGUAGGCAACCUGCCCAAAAGUGGGGGACAACAGCUUGAAAGAGCUGCUAAUACCGCAUGUGGCCCUAGAGUGGCAUCACUCUUGGUCUAAAGCUUUAUGCGCUUUUGGAUGGGCUUGCGGCCUAUCAGGUAGUUGGUGGGGUAAUGGCCUACCAAGCCGACGACGGGUAGCUGGUCUGAGAGGACGAUCAGCCGGAUUGGGACUGAGAUACGGCCCAGACUCCUACGGGGGGCAGCAAUUAGGAAUCUUGCGCAAUGGGGGCAACCCUGACGCAGCGACGCCGCGUGCGGGAUGAAGGCAUUCGUGUCGUAAACCGCUUUUUACGGGGAAGAAGAAUUUGACGGUACCCGUCGAAUAAGCCCCGGCUAACUACGUGCCAGCAGCCGCGGUAAUACGUAGGGGGCGAGCGUUGUCCGAAGUUACUGGGCGUAAAGCGCGCGUAGGCGGUUAUUUAAGUUCGGGGUGAAAGGUUCAACGCUCAACGUGAACAGUGCCUUGAAUACUGGGUGACUUGAGUUCGGGAGAGGGCAGUGGAAUUCCUGGUGUAGCGGUGAAAUGCGUAGAUAUCAGGAGGAACACCGAUGGCGAAGGCAGCUGCCUAGACUGUAACUGACGCUGAGGCACGAAAGCGUGGGGAGCGAACAGGAUUAGAUACCCUGGUAGUCCACGCCGUAAACGAUGAGUGCUAGGUGUUCGGGGUAUCGACCCCCCGGGUGCCGCCGCUAACGCAGUAAGCACUCCGCCUGGGGAGUACGGCCGCAAGGUUGAAACUCAAAGGAAUUGACGGGGGCCCGCACAAGCGGUGGAGCAUGU